GGAGCUGUGCCUGAAUUAUAGGACCACUUUGAUAGAGUGAAACAUGUGGGAUAAAGACCCUCCAGCCCCU
rnacentral:tRNA from 1 species